UUGCUGCAUUAUUUUGCUAACUCUGUAUAAUCUUUGUUUCAGAAAAUAAUAAUGGCAGACCCUCAGCUUACUCUAGAAAUGAAGAAGCAUGCUGUUAUGGUGCUGA